AUUGAACGCUAGCGGGAUGCCUUACACAUGCAAGUCGAGCGGAGUGGCGAACGGGAGUGUAAUGUAUCGGAACGUGCCCAGUAGCUGGGGAUAACUACGCGAAAGCGUAGCUAAUACCGCAUACGAUUGGAGCGGCCGCUAUGGGUUUAGCUAGUUGGUGGGGUAAGGGCUCACCAAGGCGACGAUCCGUAGCUGGUUUGAGAGGACGACCAGCCAGACUGGGACUGAGACACGGCCCAGACUCCUACGGGAGGGAGCAGUGGGGAAUUUGGGGCAAUGGGGGAAACCCUGAUCCAGCCAUCCCGAGUGUGCGAUGAAGGCCUUCGGGUCGUAAAGCACUUUUGGCAGGAAAGCGGUACCUGCAGAAUAAGCACCGGCUAACUACGUGCCAGCAGCCGCGGUAAUAC
rnacentral:rRNA from 1 species